GAAGAGAGGUUUAUCAUGUAUCGAGAUAGAAUGGCGAGCCACUCCAUCAUCAAUGAUCUUGGGGUCUCUUCUUCUCCUCUUCUAGCAUCGAAAUUCAGAGGAAGGUUCAAAUGAAAGAGAAAUAGAGUCGUAGGGGAAAAGAACAACUUCUCGAGAACUAGAGGAAGGAUCCAUCAAGCAUCGUCAUGGGAUCAGAGAGAGCUAAGAGCAGAGCGAUGAUUAGAAUAUCGAAA
rnacentral:lncRNA from 1 species